CUGGUUAUUAAUUUUUAGAUGCAUUCAAGUGCUUUGCUGGGAAGUCGUGGAUCAUGGAAAUGUCUUCACAUUGUAGGGCAGGUCAAGAUGUUGUGGUCUAUACUCUGAAGUCUGCGUAUUGUGGGAUAUAUCUUGGAAUCACAGGGUGCGGCUGUUUCCUGGGUUGAUCCCAGAGUUUCUAUAAUAGAUUUCUGUGUCAUAUGUCCAAUGUUUAAUUUCAGAUUGUGUCUGUGUUUUAUGGAGAGUUCAUGUGAAUUUUUGUGACAGGGGCCGGAAGUGGUGAUAAAGUCCAUCAGGUGUGGUAAAGUACAAGUGUACUAUGAACAUAGUGCAGCAUUUCUGGAGGAUGUAGUCCAAUUCUGCAUAUCAUGUGGCAAGUCUGUAUGACAGAGACUGUUUUCUGAUGGAGUGCGGUAUAGGUGAUAGUGUUGGAAAGAGAGUUUGAGUGACUGGGCACAAACCUAGGAUGUGACAGAGAUUGCGUUUGUGUGGUGAGUCCACUUUGCAGUAAGAUGCAAUUCUUUCUGCUGUGGGAUACACCGUUGUGUAAUUGUGUCCUAAGGUGUGAAUCUUUGUGUUGAGGGAUGGUUUUGUGGUAGGGUAUGUUUGUGCAGCAUAGAGUGUGUUUCUCUGUUGUGGAGCAAAUCUGGACAUUUUGAGGCUUGUUGUAUAUUGUUUUCGUGUGCAUUUUUGUGUGUUACAGGUCAUAUAUAGAUGUGUGGUGCUGCGAGGUUGUGACAAGAUUCUGUGGGUUGUAGGAGAGUGUGAGUGUUGCAGAGCAUGUCGGUGCAUUGUAGGGAAAAGGAUAUGGGCUGGGUCUUUACGUUGUGAUUUCAUUCUAGGCUUUUUGAGGCGUGUCUGUACGUGAGGGAAAGUGUAUAAACAUGUGGCAAUUCUGGGACUCUGUAGAGUGUCCGUGAAUUUUCCAGGCAUUUGUGCAUUGCACGAUGCAUCAUUUCAUCAGAAUGUUUGCCAUAGUUUUCUGGGGUAUGUACACUGUAGACUGUAUCUAGGGAGAGCGUGAGGGGUGAGGCUGUGCAGUAAAGGCAUGUCUGGUAAGGAGCAUAUCUAAGGAAUAUAGGACAGGUCUUGACUGUGUGAGCCAAGUUUGUGAGUCCUCAAACUGAUCUGUGUGUGGAGGGGCAUAUGUUUGCUUGUGGGGUAUUUGCAUCACAGAGUGUGAAAUUUGAGGUGUGUCUGUGCAUAAGAAUGUAGUUUUGUGUUUGUGAGGAAAACUUUCUGUCAUUGGGUAAACCUGUCCAUUAUAAGUUGUAUCUAUGCAUUGUGGAGCUAGUUUGUGCAUUACUUAUUGACAUAACUUAGUGUGAGUACCAAGCCAAUUGGUGGAGAGGCUGGAUAUGUGGGAUCUGCAGCAGGACAGUCCUACUUGGUAGAGUGAGGCUGUGCAUUAUAGAGAGACUCGUGCCCUGUGGAACUUACCUCUGGGUUAUAGGUCAUCUGUUGGUGUGAGGAGGUGAGUCUGGGCAUGGUGGAGUUGAGUCUUUUUAUUGUAGGUUCACUGAAGGCAUUGCGAGGCAUUUCUGUAGUUCUCUGGAGCAAGGCUGACUUCUGAGGCAAAUCUGAGUGUGUUAUGGUAGUAUUAGUUACAUUCUGGAGCACAUCUUGGCAUUUUGUGAAUGUUUGCUGUGUGAAGUACAGUUGUACAUUGUGAUGGAGGAUUCCAUGGGAUGUGUGAGGAGUCUUAUGUCAUGAAGCAUAUGUGACAUUGUAAGUGGGUCUAGCUAUUGGCUAGUAUGGAAGUUAUGUAUGUACCCAGGUAUUGUGGGGUUCAUAUGUAUGUCAUGAAGUGUUUCUUGGUGUUGUGGUGUAUAUCAAUGUGUUUGGGAUCCUAUCUGGUGGUUAUGGAGUAUUAUUAGGUGAUCCCAUGCUUUGAAGAUGAGUCUCUGCAUUGUAGGAUAAUGCUCUGUAUGGGGUGAGUUUGUGUGUCCUAGGAUGAAUUUGAAGACUGGAUAAGGUCCAUGAAUUGUGGGGAAAGUCUGUUUUCCAUGGUGUAUUUGUUCUAUGGGAUAGGUCUGUGAGUCGCUGGUUAUGAUUUUGCAUUAUCGUGUAACUCUGUGAAGUCAUUCUAUGUUGAAAAGAAUGUGCAUAUAUUACGGAUAUGCCCAUUUGUUGUGGAGUAUGGGUAGGUUUGUAUGUUCUGGAGCCAAUCUGAAUUUUAUUAAGGGUAAAUAUGUGUGAAGCAAGGCAAGUGUGGAUGUUGUCUGGCAAGUCUGGGUGCUGUGUGUGUGUCGGUGGGUGUGUUUCUUUUAUUUAACUGUAUAUUUUCCAGAAUUUCUUUGCAUUGUAAGACAAGUAUUAGUGUUGUGGAGAAAGCCUGCAGACUGUGCAGCAUACCCCUGUUACAGAACAUGUCCAUGGAUUGUGUUACUUAUUUUGGGUCAUGUCUGUGUGUUCUAGAGCAAUGCACACUGAGUGAGUGCAUCUGAGUGUGAAUCUGGGUGUUCUGCAGUAAAUCUAAGUGUCAUGGGUAUGUCUGUGUGAUGUGUGACUUGGGUGUGUUGUCCAUUUCUUUUCUGCUUUACAAGUUAACCUUCUGCAUAAUGCAGGUAAGUAGUUGUUUCAUAGGUUGUGCUGGGAGUGGAGAUGGGUGGCUUUACCUGUGUGCUGCUCAGGUUAAUCUCAGCGGUUCAGCCAUGAGCAGGGGCUCAUGGGCCAAGUUGGUGUGUUUUGCAGUAAGUAUAGAUAUUUUGCGACAAGCCUUCAAAUCGUGGAGCGAAUCUGGAGAGUGUAGGAUUUCUUUGUGCACUUCAGCAUCUAUGUGUGCUGUAAGUCAAAUGUGAGUGUUUGGGGGCGGGAUGUUUUGCGGUCAGCAGCUGUGUGGUGGAGACAGCCUGAGUCUUUGGGGGCAUUUCUGUGUAUGGUGGGGUGUGUCCAUGGACUGUAGGACCACUACAGAUCUUACUCUGGGAGUUUCUGCAAUAUGAAGGGAGCACUAGUAUCUACGUGUCCUUCUGCUCUGCUUGUUUUCAACGCUCUCUGUGUGUCGUGAGGCACGGUUUUGUGUUAGGGUCCUGGGUGACACAAAGUCUAUCUGACAUUUUGAGAUUCAUAUGGGUUUUAUGGGGCCAGAUUAAAUGCUAUGGGGUGAAUCUGGUUUUGGGGAUGACUGUGGGUGACAGAGAGAAAUCUCCCAGGAGCAAAUCUCCCUCCCAUGGAGCGAGAUUUGAGUAUUACUGCGAGUCUCUCCUGUAGAGGGAAUAUAGAUGUGUAUCCUAUUAUGAGUAAUGCAGAGUUUUUAUCUGUAUGCUGGCCAAGAUCUCUGCCAGCUCAGAGGAAAAUAUUUGUUUUGCAAAAGAAAGAUUUUUGAAAGGCCAAUCUGUCAUGUGUGGAGAAGAGAGCCAUGCUAUAGGGCCAAUCCGGGUAGUCUGGGCUUUGGGAAUAGUGGCAGCCUGGAUGGCAAGUCUCUGGCAAGUCAGGAUUCUGGGAAAUGAAUCUGGGUGAUACUUAUGUGUUAGGGCUUUGUCUCGGUCUUCUCUAGUGCUUCAGGCUUGUGCUGUAAAACAAAUCUUAGUAUUGUAGAAGCAAGAAGUGAUUUCAUAGAAAUAGUCUGGUGUGUAGAUUUCUGUGGCAGGAAAUAAGCUCUGUUACCAUGUAACAGCUCUGGAUGAGUAAUGCUGUGUUUGGGAGUUAUUUUUAACUAUGCAUGUGCUACACAUUCUCUCUCUGUUCUGUGAUGUUCAUGUGUCCCAGAGUCAAAACAAGAGGUGUUUAUAGGGACACUCUGCAUACUAAUAGACUAAUAGAUUCUGGAAGAUGUCUGUUCGCUAUGGGUAUUUAUCUCUGUGUUGUUGGCCUAAUCUUACAGGGAGAGUCUGGGUAUUUAUUAUGAGGGAUGCCAGUGCACUGUAGAGUUUUCUGUGUUUUGUCCUCUGUUUCUAUCAGCUACCAGAUAAGUCUUGAUGUUGUGAAGGGGAAAAAAUGGGGUUUUCUGGCCAGUCUGUGGACUCUGAGGUUUCUUUGGGCUGUGGGUCAUUACUGUGUAUUGUGCGGCAAACCUGGGUUGCCUGGCAAGUAACAGAUGAUGUUUCCAGUUUUAUGAGACAAGGUAGGUGUUGUAGAGUUGGUGUAAGAGUUUGGUGGUGUAGAAAGAAUGGCUAUCAAGAAAUCAACCAAUAACAAAUGCUGGCAGGGGUAUGGCAGAAAGGAACACUUCUCCACUGCUGGUGGGAGUGCAGACUGGUGCAACCACUGUGGAAAUCAGUGUGGAGAUACCUCAAACAACUAGGACUAGAGGUCCCAUUUGACCCAGCUAUUCCCCUGCUGGGGAUCUUCCCCAAAGAAUUAAAAGAAUCAUACCACAGUGAUAUAUGUGCACCCAUGUUUAUAGCGGCACAGUCUGUAAUAGCUAAAACUUGGAAACAGC
ensembl:lncRNA